UGUGGCGAGAGGAUUCAGUCUGGCGUCGGGAACGCGCGGUCCGGAAGACCAGAAGGGCUUCCCGGGAUMGGGGCCGUCCGGUCGCGCGCCUCGUUCGGCGCCAGACGCAUUUGCCUCUCGUCCGAAGGACGCUGCAGCCGGCGGGGGAGUCGUGCAAGCGCGACGGCCUGAAGGUCGGGGACAGGCAGGUGGCCGGUGGCGCGCGUCGUCCGCGUCGUCGCCGGUUGUUAGCCGCCCCGUCAGUGGCUCGUCCCCCCGCCGAGGUGUCGCCAGGCCCCACCAGGGGCCGCAUCCGCCUCCUCCAGAAGGACGCGAGAGAGAUCGGAGCUGGCGCAGKCCUUCGUCCCGUCGCACUCCGCCGGAGUGGUCGGGCGAAACGGGCAGGCGCCGCAGGCUUCGGCGAGUCUCGCCGGAGGUCGGAGGCUCGCAGCGAGUAGGUCGGUCACCCACCCGACCCGUCUUGAAACACGGACCAAGGAGUCUAACAUGUGCGCGAGUCAAUGGGUCUUGAACAGGCCCAGGGGCGCAAUGAAAGCGAAGGCAGUGCCUCACGCCUGMCGAGUCGGGAUCCCCUUCCCCGUCAGAAGGUGGGGGCGCACCGACGACCCGUCCCGUCCGGCUCGUCCGGUGGGGCGKAGUGUGAGCGCACACGUUGGGACCCGAAAGAUGGUGAACUAUGCCCGGACAGGACGAGGCCAGAGGAMACUCUGGUGGAGGUCCGCAGCGGUUCUGACRUGCAAAUCGAUCGUCAGAUCC
rnacentral:rRNA from 1 species